CUCCAGGACGGAGCAGUGCUCUGUGCUGGUGCCAUCUAUAGACAGGAUAUGAUCACCCACGUGUAACGCUCCAGACCUGAGACACAAACAGAGAACUGCUAGAACUGUCAUAAAGAGGCUCAUUGAGUGUGUACCUGUCCACCACACUGGCGGGCUUGAUCUUGUCGAUGACGAUGGCCUGUUUGUUCCUGUGCAUGGCAGUGGUCAGAGUGAUUCCUAGACUGGCUCCGGGCGCCUUGGCAAUCUCUACCAGCAGAGGACCUGAAGCGUUUGUCACCGAGUCUGAGGGCAGGAUACAACCUCGUUAACUCUACAAGGAGAACAACAGUGGGCGUUAUGCUAAUCGUAGCUAGCAUAAAUUAGCUUAACAGCAUUGGUAAAUGCGUGAGAGUAGUUUCUCCACUCUUGAAGGUCAACAACCUGCUGUUCAUCCAGAUGAAACAGUGAAGAUGGUUAAACAUAGCAGAGAUCUCAGAAGAGAAGCGCUGUGUUUCUGGAGAAUUUCUACAAAUGGACAAGCACUCUAUAAAUGCUUAAGUAAUUUGAUUAUCCCCUAGAAAAGAUACAUAAAAAAAUUCUACUGAAAAAUAGUUUUCAGAAAUGAAAUCGAAACUUUGUAAAUGCUUUGUAUAAGACCCUCAAAAUACACUUAAUUAUUUUAUUUACUUAUUCAUUUUCAGAUUUUUUACAGUAUUUUACUUGGUUAUUACCCGGGUAUGUAUGGAAUACAAUUGGUGUCAAAAAUAUUUUUGUAAAAUUAUCUACGGAGUUACUCAGUGUCAAAAAACGUUAUAAAAUAUAUUUAACCUUGCUGAUAAGCAUGAAUAUAAAGGCUUACUGACG